rnacentral:rRNA from 1 species
AACGAACGCUGGCGGCAUGCCUUACACAUGCAAGUCGAACGGCAGCACGGGUGCUUGCACCUGGUGGCGAGUGGCGAACGGGUGAGUAAUAUAUCGGAACGUACCUUAUUGUGGGGGAUAACGCAGCGAAAGCUGUGCUAAUACCGCAUAAUCCCUAAGGGGGAAAGCGGGGGACCGUAAGGCCUCGCGCAAUUAGAGCGGCCGAUACCUGAUUAGCUAGUUGGUGAGGUAAAGGCUCACCAAGGCAACGAUCAGUAGCUGGUCUGAGAGGACGAUCAGCCACACUGGGACUGAGACACGGCCCAGACUCCUACGGGAGGCAGCAGUGGGGAAUUUUGGACAAUGGGGGCAACCCUGAUCCAGCAAUGCCGCGUGAGUGAAGAAGGCCUUCGGGUUGUAAAGCUCUUUUGUCAGGGAAGAAACAGCAGCUCUAACACAGUAUGCGAAUGACGGUACCUGAAGAAUAAGCACCGGCUAACUACGUGCCAGCCGCCGCCGUAA